AAGGAAAAAAAGGGGAGAAACAGGACACUUGCACAACUCCACAAACUGUGCAAGAAACUACAGACACAAAAGGACACCUGCUGUAAUCUGAGAACAGCACAGCUGAGGUGAUCCUCCUGCAAUGAGCGUGCCAAGAGCUGCUCUGGACGCUGAGGCCUUGCAGGCACCAGGAGAACCUCCUGCUGACAGCGCUGUGACCUGGCAGCCCUCUGCUGACAUCACAAUAGCAGCCGUUCCAGGUUGCUCUGUGGAUUCAUGCAUAGCAAACAAACCUUCUCUGCAGCUGACAGAAAAGAAAAGCCUGGAAAGAUCUCCUCUGCCCCAAAGCAGCACAAAAGCCCCUUGCAGUCCAUAAGCCACAGCUCAAAGGAAGCAAGAGUAACACAAAACGGGCACCAAGCCCAUACACCCUGUACGCCAAGCUGAACACUGAGAGAGAACCAGGAUGUGAGGAAACCAAAGGCAGCGGGCCCUUUUGGCCAGCAGUGCUUCUGACUAAAGCCAAUUUUAAAUUUGCUUUUAAAUCCUCUGGAUGAAAUUGUGCUUUGCUUCUUUUGCUAAUAUCCCGGAGAGUUCCCUAAACUGGAAUGCCUGUCAUUCCUGCCCAUUUACUGCAUGGCUAACAUCAACCAGCACAUUGUAGGGCUUGCUGAAGGAAGAAUAACACCUAGGUGGGGAGAAAAACCAAGUAACCAACCUGCUGCACAUACAGCACACUGCUGCUGCACAAUCCCAGCACCUCCAAGAAGCCUUUGGGACCAUCAUGUGCACAGCAGUGGUUGCAGAGUUGGUGAAGUCCAGCAGCACCUGGGAAAAGAGAAGCUGCAGAUAAUCCCUGGAAACAAAUACCUGCUCUAGCAGGAGCAGUGAGUGUCCAGUGGGAAGGCAAGUUCUGCCACGGGAACUAAGGCCAACUUGUGGGAGUGAAGACUUGUGCAGUUUGGAUCUGCAUGAGCCACUGUGGAGGCCUGUGGGCCUGCUGGGGGACUUCUUGGGGCUAUGCCCUGGAAGGAUGUCCCCUAGACUUUAACCUUUCGCUUAUCAUGUCCCAUAGACUUUAAACUUUCCCAUGAACUCAAUUUUUUUUUCAAUGUACGUUUGAUACAUUAUUAAUAUAUAAUAUAUAUAUAUAUAUAAUACACCUAUAUAUAUAUAUAUAUAUAUAUAUAUAUAUACAGUGAUCAUAUAGUGAUUAUUGAAAAUAAUUUAUGUUGCAAUAUUUGGUGGUAAUUGACAGAAAAUUUGACAAUCAUUUAAAUUUAAAUUUUAGUUGCACAAUUUUUAACAGACUUCCUUUCCCAGUUUUCGUAUUCAUUCACCCACUUCCCUGAACCCACUCUCCCUGAGAAGGACAGGACUGGAGAUGGAACCUGCUCAAGAGCACAGGCCAGCCACCAGCCAUCUGCCAUC
rnacentral:lncRNA from 1 species